rnacentral:tRNA from 2 species
GGGUCGAUGCCCGAGGGGUCAAUGGGGACGGACUGUAAAUUCGUUGGCAAAUAUGUCUACGCUGGUUCAAAUCCAGCUCGGCCCA